AUUGAACGCUGGCGGCAUGCUUUACACAUGCAAGUCGAACGGUAACAGGUCUUCGGAUGCUGACGAGUGGCGAACGGGUGAGUAAUGUAUCGGAACGUGCCCAGUAGUGGGGGAUAACUACUCGAAAGAGUGGCUAAUACCGCAUGAGAACUGAGGUUGAAAGCGGGGGACCUUCGGGCCUCGCGCUACUGGAGCGGCCGAUAUCAGAUUAGGUAGUUGGUGGGGUAAAGGCCUACCAAGCCGACGAUCUGUAGCUGGUCUGAGAGGACGACCAGCCACACUGGGACUGAGACACGGCCCAGACUCCUACGGGAGGCAGCAGUGGGGAAUUUUGGACAAUGGACGCAAGUCUGAUCCAGCAAUGCCGCGUGCAGGACGAAGGCCUUCGGGUUGUAAACUGCUUUUGUACAGAACGAAAGGCUCUGGUUAAUACCUGGGCUCAUGACGGUACUGUAAGAAUAAGCACCGGCUAACUACGUGCCAGCAGCCGCGGUAAA
rnacentral:rRNA from 1 species